CUUUUAAAAAGUGAAAGCGGGGACUUGGAGUUUCACGGAGAUCCUGGGAAGGCAAAAUGGAGGGGUGUGUGUCUAACCUAAUGGUCUGCAACCUGGCCUACACCGGGAAGCUGGAUGAGUUGAAGGAGCACAUUUUGGCCGAUAUAUCUCUAGCUACUAGAACCGAUCAAGACAGCAGAACUGCGUUGCACUGGGCAUGUUCAGCUGGUCAUACAGAAAUUGUUGAAUUCUUGCUGGAACUUGGAGUGCCAGUGAAUGAUAAAGAUGACGUAGGCUGGUCUCCUCUUCAUAUUGCUGCUUCUGCUGGCCGGGAUGAGAUUGUAAAAGCCCUCCUGGUAAAAGGUGCCCAAGUGAAUGCUGUCAACCAAAAUGGCUGCACGCCCAUCCAUUAUGCUGCUUCGAAAAACAGGCAUGAGAUUGCUGUCAUGUUACUAGAAGGUGGGGCUAAUCCAGAUGCGAAGGACCAUUAUGAGGCUACAGCAAUGCACCGGGCAGCAGCCAAGGGUAACUUGAAGACGUUCAUGUCCUUCUAUUCUACAAAGCAUCCACAAACAUCCAAGACACUGAGGGUAACAGUCUCCUCUACACUUAGCCUGUGAUGAGGAGAGAGUGGAAGAAGCAAAAUUACUGGUGACCCGAGGAGCAAGUAUUUACAUUGAGAAUAAAGAAUAAAGGACACCCCUACAAGUGGCCAAGGGUGGCCUGGGUUUAAUACUCAAGAGACUUGUAGAAAGUUAAGCAGCUUGAGUUUAUUCUUUGUGGGUUUUGUUGUCCUCACUGUCCUGGAAACUGUUGUACUGUGCACAAGGCAUCUGGAAUGAUUGAAAGCAUUUGUUCACCUUCAGAAUCUUACAUGUUGUAUCGCUUCUGCUCAAGUCCCUGUUCUAAGCUUACAACCCACUGUUCAGGCAACAAAACUCUUGAGAUUGUUCUGCUGAUGUCACUUAUUGUUCUCUAUUAAAUCUUGCUUAAUUUGGAAAAAAAAAGUGAAAGCAUUGGAGUGGAUGUCCCCGAGGUUCUUUCUCACCUUAUAUACACUGAUUUUAUAUUAUGUAACAGGUCAUAAAACAAAGAUAUUGA